rnacentral:tRNA from 1 species
GCAGAUAUGGCCGAGUGGUUAAGGCGACUGACUCGAAAUCAGUUUCCAUCUUGGAGCGUAGGUUGGAAUCCUACUAUCUGCG